rnacentral:rRNA from 1 species
GACGAACGCUGGCGGCGCGCCUAAUACAUGCAAGUAGAACGCACAGUUUAUACCGUGGCUUGCUACACCAUAGACUGUGAGUUGCGAACGGGUGAGUAACGCGUAGGUAACCUGCCUGGUAGCGGGGGAUAACUAUUGGAAACGAUAGCUAAUACCGCAUAAUAUUAAUUAUUGCAUGAUAAUUAAUUGAAAGGUGCAAUUGCACCACUACCAGAUGGACCUGCGUUGUAUUAGCUAGUAGGUGAGGUAACGGCUCACCUAGGCGACGAUACAUAGCCGACCUGAGAGGGUGAUCGGCCACACUGGGACUGAGACACGGCCCAGACUCCUACGGGAGGCAGCAGUAGGGAAUCUUCGGCAAUGGACGAAAGUCUGACCGAGCAACGCCGCGUGAGUGAAGAAGGUUUUCGGAUCGUAAAGCUCUGUUGUAAGAGAAGAACGGGUGUGAGAGUGGGAAGUUCACACUGUGACGGUAUCUUACCAGAAAGGGACGGCUAACUACGUG